AGAUCACCUUUGGACAUGGCAGAAAUUGCACAUGUAGAGAAACUCUUGGGAGCAGGAACUUUGAGAUAAGACAUUAAAAAAUGUUAAAAUUCCAGAGCACUGUGACUUUAUCUGGAACUCCAUAUUACUCCUCUUGACCCCAGCUGGAUUCAUGAAUGACUUGUCAUAAAGCUAACACAUGCCCCCAGAAGAGAGUGGGCAGAGAAAAGCAGAUCUGCACUCCCCUUCUGGUGCUCUCGCUAACAAGGACGGGUUGAAACUAGAGAUCAGCCACGUGGACACUAUGUGAUUGAGCCCCAAUAGAAACUCUGGACACCAAAGGCUACAGUUGACUGGACCACCAGUAGAUAAGAAUAAAGUCAGCAGGAUCCUCUUGGAAACAGGAAAGAUGACUAGUGUUCUGCCAAACCCAGGACUGGGUAAAUGACCCUUCUAAAUAGGGGCAGGGUGAUUGAAGGAAGAAUAUAUGUCGGAUGUCACAGCUCUGAAGACCAGACGGCCAUGAUUUUUCCAUAGUGGGCUGCUGCACUAGCUAGGGUAUAAACUAGAGAACUCAAGGAAGACCAUUUUCAUCAAAUCCCUAGAGAUAUACAGAAUUCAACUUGUGCAGCUGUGCUCUGUGGCCUUACAAAUUCAUCCCUACCAUAAAUGGAACAACAACAAGAAAUAACUAUAAUUCUGAUUUCCUGUUCAGACUCUUUCUACCCUCUAGCUACUUAUUCUAGGAGAAUACGAUAAUCCCCCCCUUUUUUUUCCUUUGUUUCUUUGAUGAUGUGGGCAAUAGGACCUAUGAUAAAAUAGCACAGUUUUGUGAAAGGUCAUGUCCUUGGAGUCAGACUUGGGUUUGAACCUGGCUCUGCCAGUUGCUACCUGUGUAAUCACAAGUAUCUAUGUUCCUCUGAGUUUCUCCUUCUGUAAAAUGAGUAUAAAAAACCUUCUCAUUAGAACCAUUGUAGGUGUUAAGUGUAUAUAAUGCCUAACACACAAUAUCAUAAACCCUUAGUAAAUACUGAUUUCCUCCUCCCACACAUUUGCCAGUCUAGAUUUGAUUACUAAAACUGUAGGAAAAUGAAACACUAAUAAUAGGUCACAAAUUACCCCAAGAUCACCCAAUUUAACUGUAGCUGUGUCCCCAAAAUUUAAAUAUUGACACACACAUAUAUUUUCUCUUUGUGUCUGUGGUCAUAGAUGACUUCACAGAAAUACUAGCGUUCUUAGGGUAAUUCAUGAGUCAGCUCAGUUACUGUCUUGGGGUCUCUCUUUGAACCAUUCCCUGUAAGAUUCAUUCUACUUAUAUCUUCUCAAUUUAGAGCAAGAUGUUUAAUUUUACUAUAGUUUAUAAAGGUUUUUUAAAUUAAAUGUAUAACUAUA